CAUAAUGAGGGGGAUUCCGUUUACACCUGUGUGAGUCUAAAACUCUCACACUAAUUAUUGUCCAUUGAUCAAAUUUAAAUCUAAUGGUCCCAAAUAAUUUUAAUUAGUAGGUCAUGUGAUUUUCUUUUACUCUCCCCCCUUUUCAAUUGCAGUUACCUCUAUCCUCCCACCACUGCUCAACCCAUUCUCUGCAUCAAAACAGUUACGUAGCUUGCUAUGUGUGGACUCCUCUGAUGCAUGGGUACGUGGAUUUGGGCUGCGUACCCGUACCGGGUACGUACCCGGUACGAAUACGCGACGGGUACGCGUACGGUACGUACCCGGUACAAAAAAAAAAGAGGUUCCGGGCCAAAACGACAUCGUUUUGGCCAUUAAAAAAAAAAAAAAAACAGAUCAAAUCGCGUUUCAACAGAGAGAAAGGAAAACAGAAGGGUUUUGAAAGAGAAGAGGGUCCACGCCUCCACGGAACCAGAGAUAGGAAGCCCGCCGCCGGCCACCACCGUCCUCUCCAGCUGCGCCUCCGCCGUCCUCUCCACCGCCGGCCACCACCGCAGGUGGACUCCUUGCUGAUGAACUGGUUCAGAUGGCUUCUAUUUGUUCGCUUUCUUAUCCCAUGGGAUGCGUGGUUGAGUGAAAGCGGGGCUAUCACAGUUGCUUCUGGAAUUCUAUUUUGUUGCUUUGACAGCUUGUAACGAAGGAUAGUUGGCUCUUGAUCCGCGGCUUAGCAACGAAGGACAGCUUGGAAUUCUAUUUUGUGUUGCCUCUGUUUUAUUGCUUUGCACUAUCUGUUAUUUCUCUUUCUCUUUGAUUUUUGUACCAUUUAAUUGUUAGAGUUCAAUCUCAGAUUAAAAGAAUGAAUGGUGGGAGUUCAAAUGAGGAACGGGUCAAUGAUAAAAACACAAAAUCAUGGAAUAAAGUUGUAAUUUCCAACCUCCAAAAA